rnacentral:rRNA from 1 species
GACGAACGCUGGCGGCGGGCUUAACACAUGCAAGUCGAACGGAAAGGCCCUGCUUGUGUGGGGUGCUCGAGUGGCGAACGGGUGAGUAACACGUGAGUAACCUGCCCUUGACUUUGGGAUAACUUCAGGAAACUGGGGCUAAUACCGGAUAGGAGCUCCUGCUGCAUGGUGGGGGUUGGAACGUUUCGGCGGUUGGGGAUGGACUCGCGGCUUAUCAGCUUGUUGGUGGGGUAGUGGGUUACCAAGGCAUUGGCGGGUAGCCGGCCAGAGAGGGUGACCGGCCACAUUGGGACUGAGAGACGGCACCGACUCCUAAGGGAGGCAGCAGUGGGGAAUAUUGCACAAUGGGCGGAAGCCUGAUGCAGCAACGCCGCGUGCGGGAUGACGGCCUUCGGGUUGUAAACCGCUUUCGCCUGUGACGAAGCGUGAGUGAAGGUAAUGGGUAAAGAAGCACCGGCUAACUACGUG